GCGAUCAUACCAGCACUAAUGCACCGGAUCCCAUUAGAACUCCGCAGUUAAACGUGCUUGGGCGAGAGUAGUACUAGGAUGGGUGACCUCCUGGGAACCUCCCGUGGCCCUCC
rnacentral:rRNA from 1 species